UUGGUUUGAUUGUUAUUCGUUCAAGAUCAUCUGAUUAACAUUAUAAAUCGUUAUUGCUCCUAAUCAGGUGUUAAAUUGUUGGUUAACAAUACUAGAUCUUAUGUACAUAAAUUCCACCAUUUCUUUAAACCUGGUAUCAAAAGGACAAAAAGAGAUGAAAAAGAGAUUAUCAGCGGAGAUGAAAAAAGGACAAAAACCAUCAGAUUACAAUCCAGCCAACUCUUCAUUUAACCUAACCAAUAUUCAUUUAAACAAGAUGAAGCCAUGAUGUACCUUAGAAGAGAGGUAAGCAAAAAAGAGCAACUACAAUUUGGACUUAUUACUUGAAAAAAAUGAACCUUCUUUCGGCGAUUUAUCUACUCUCAUGCAUUCAUUAGAUUCAACAUUGGUUAUGUUGAGAGUAACCUGGCAAAUAUUUAAUUUGAACUAAUUUAGCUCAUUGGGAACCAAGUGAACAAUUCAUCAAACUGAUUUAUUUAUAAAGACAAAAAUGAAUUCUUGCACAUCUUUACCCCAAAAUUAAGUUAUUUACAACUCAACAAUCAUGAAGAUAUUAUGAAGAUGCGAGCAAUGAACGGAAAAUUAAAUAGCAACGAGUAAAAGCUAGAGACGUGAUAAUUAAAAAAACGAAAAGGGAAAUUCGUAUUUCAUUAAAUGUUACCCUGGAAAUAAUAUCAAAUACAGUCCAAGUGGAAAAGAAACUCGAAAUCGUACAUCUUACAUCAACAAUUCAAAAGUGAAUCAAUGAAAAGGACUGUUGUGCCGGGAUAUUGAACAGUCUGAACUCGAAAGGAAUCGACAAAUAAUCAAAAUCAAAAUUAGAGUAUGGCUGAUGGAGAGGAGACUGACAAGUGUGAUAAAUGAGAUGAUGAUAGUAUUUAAAAGGAUGGCCAGAAAACAGAGGACUGUCAAUGAACCAGUAAUUAACAUGACAAGAAGGAAACUAUUUUAUUCCUGAAUGAAUAGUUAAUCUCGACAAGGGAAUCUGACCCUGAUCCAAGACACUACAUGGAAAUGGACCUGAUUUCAACCUAACCAUGACUUGAUCGGUUCGUUAGCAAUUAUCAAACUGUUUGCUCUGACUGUUGGUCAAAAAGUCUGUCGUUUUUCAUCCAGAUGCUGAGAUCAAUUUUCUUAAUCUCAAGAGUAAAUUUAUUCAUUAACAGUUAAUUGGAGAAACUCUUUGACUAACCGGCUGUCCGUUCAAAUGACCAAACAUUGCAUCGAUUAAGUCAACUAUUAUUACAGCAAAAGGAAAACUCGUUCAUUUCAUCUGAUCAACCUGCAAUUUUGACUUCUAUUAAUCAUUGAAUCCCUAAUAACCAGUUGAACCAAACACCAUUUAAUAUCGCAAAGGAAAGCAGAGUUGAAACAUUUGCUUCCAUAACUUUACGCUCCAAUCGUCUUUCAAUCAAAUCAAACGGUCGUUACCUUUAUCAGGUGCAACUAGAUUAUUUUAAAUGGUGGUAAACAUUUCAUGUUAUUAGCCUGUUAUGAGCACAUCAAUAAUCUUGUCAAGUAAUCUAUGAAUGUCAACCAGCCUGUCAAAAGUCAACAAAGCUUUGCUUGGUCAAGUUUGUCAAAAGUAAAAAUUGAAAGUGAUGAUCAGGUGAUGGUUAAAAAAAUGGACAACUAUUGUAAAGAUGAAACGAUAUGGCAAAUCGAGGAAAAUAUUUGCAACCAAUUUUCACCAGCAAUUCAAUUUCAUUGAAUAUUAAACUUCUAGAUAUCUGGAUGCUUUCAAAAUAUCGAGCUGAACUCAGCUGUACAUUCCAUUCAACUCAUUACAGUUGAAAUUGUCAUCAGGAUAUAAACACAAGUAAUCUUGAGACGAUAAUUAUAAUAUGGUAAUGAGACGAGAAGUAAAAUGAUGCAAGAUGAAGUACAUUUAUUAAUAAUACACAAACGAGAAAUAAGAAUAACAAAUUAUCAUAGAAAUAAGCUGAUUUUUUGGUUUCACCUUUUUUUUCUCGACUGAUCCUGCUAAGAAUGACAGACUAACCCUACUGCUACUGGUAACAUUACUACUACUGGGUGGCUGUUUGCAUCACUUGAUUCUGAAUUUAUCUUCUCUUUUCUCAUUGUUUUCUAGAUCUUUUUUUCUCUCUUCUCUCCUAUUUUCCAUCUUCUCAGAUUAUUUACCUUCUUGUCUCAUUCUUUUCUCAACCGUGAAUCCAUGGUAACUCAGGCGAGUUAAGAAGAUAAGAUUUUCUGGUAGUAAGAAAAACCUUACUUUCUUUACAGCAUUUCCCUCUUCAAGCCUGGUAGCUGUAAAUCUUACCAACUUUAACUACAAUUCUCUUGAUAUGAAUCAACACUGCAUUCAUCUUUAUCUUCACCAAGCUUUUGAAACUCAUCUUCUUCAUAUUCUCCGCUCUUUGCUUUAUAUUAUUUCAGAAGCACCUUUUUUUCCCCACUCAACCUCUUUGGGUUUACCUAUUUGUCUCUAUUCAACUUCUUUAGACGUAGACACUCACACAGACAUUAAUUACAGUUGAUCAAGGAGGACAACCGGUUACAAUUUUAACAAGUAACAUAUGAAUAAGAGUCUGAAGAGUAAUGCAAAAGGUUACAAUUUUGAUAUUUAAAGGAUCAAUAGAGAAGAAAGCUGGAAAAAGAGAGCAAAAUAAUCAAUUGGAGAAUGAAAAUUGACAGGAUAAAUAAGCCAUAGGAGAAAAUAAGAAAAGUGAAUUAAGAUGGAUUGAUAAUGGUAACCAGAAUAAGAAUCUAAAACAAGACCAAAAGAAAUGCUAACAUUCUAAUACCAAUCUUUUUCUAGUUAGCUUCAAUUUAGCUACAUUUUAUUACAGGGAACACACACCAAAAUAGACGAUUAAAUUGACAUUUGACCUUAUCUUUCUUUUCUCUCCACAGAAACAUCUAAAGAAAGCAUUUGGAAAAGGGAUUUUUUACACUAUUAGAUGGAAAGAGAGAGAGCAAAUUCAAGAAGAAAAGAUUCCAAGAGAUAAAAGGAACCGAAAAGAUAUCUUGAAGCAACAAACAGAAGAGACUUUCAAAGGUGUUCAAUGGUACAAAAAGUUAUGUCAAAGGAAAAAUUGAAGGGAUUGGAGGAAAAAAGAAGGAGACGGAAAAGAAAAAUUUUGAUGAAUAGUAAAGGCUAUGAAACUAAUACGCAGAAGAAUAUUUAUCAUGGAAAAAAAAGAAUAACAUUCCAAGGAAGACGCAAUCUCAAUGAAAUUUCCAAAAGAAUGAUAUGAACAAAAAAAGAGUUUUCCAUUUCUUGCAAAGGUUUUCUCCUGCCUUAACGUCAUCAUCAUCAACAUCAGUAACAUCAUCAGCAUCAUCUUUUAUUAUUCAGCAGAGAAGACAAAUUUUUCAAGAGUAAAGUUUCAUGUUCACAGAAGAAGGAAAAAAAAGUAUAUUCAUAUACAUGUUAUACUCGAUUGACGAGGGUAAAGAAACAUGAAGAUGAGCAAGGAAAAAAGAAGAAGAAGAAUAUGGAAAAAGCAAGAGAAAUAUAAUGGCAAUAGUAACUCACCGAGAACAUCAAUAGACAAUUGCAUUUCAUAACACGUUUUUUUUCGCUUCAAUAUUUUCCUUACUCAGUUUUGUAUGUUGAUUCAACUAAAAUAACAUCUUUGUACAGUCUUUGUCUUUACCUUUCAACUCUGUUUGUACCUCAGUUGAGGUCAAAUUUGAUUGCUAGAUUUAGCAAGUUAACAAUUUGUUUAUUGUAAUGUACUGAAAGACAGACACACAGGUUUAUAGCCAACAAAACGCUUCUUAUUGCUUGUAUACACACACAGAGAGACACGUACAAACAUUAGCAUUGAAAUUUAUUUAAACAUGAACAAAACUUCAUCUCUUGAUGUGUAAAAGGUUGACAGGGAAAGAUUUAAAUUGAAUGUCAAGUCCAUUGAUUGUCAAGGAAUUAGAUGCAAGUAAAAUUGGUUGUAUUCCUGUAAAUUGUAAGUAGCAAAACAGGGGAAAAGGUUGAAAUUUGGAGGCAAAUAUUAUCAUUGAAAUUAUGUGAAGUAAAAUUGGUUGAAACAAGAGUCUGGUAAAAGCAAGAGUCAAGUCCUUUCAACCUUUGUCUUGUUAAAUUAAGAUGACAAUAAAAACACUUUAAGUCUAUUAUCACCAUUAAAGAAGCAUCAUUCGAUUU